rnacentral:rRNA from 1 species
AAACCAGCACCUCAAGUGGUCAGGAUGAUUAUUGGGCCUAAAGCAUCCGUAGCCGGUUCUGUAAGUUUUCGGUUAAAUCUGUACGCUCAACGUACAGGCUGCUGGGAAUACUGCAGAACUAGGGAGUGGGAGAGAUAGACGGUACUCGGGAGGAAGUGGUAAAAUGCUUUGAUCUCUCGAUGACCACCUGUGGCGAAGGCGGUCUAUCAGAACACGUCCGACGGUGAGGGAUGAAAGCUGGGGGAGCAAACCGGAUUAGAAACCCCGGUAGUCC